rnacentral:lncRNA from 1 species
UUAACACCAACCCAUUUCCUUAAUUCCCGAGACAUGUGAAUGCUUUAAUAACCAAAACCUCCACAACCAUUAUACAUAUCUUGUUCUACACCCUCACAACACCCCUCACGAACACACCUACUGUUUAAACAACCAAGAAACAUCCCGUUUGAAGUUCUCCGGAACCGUUCUGUCACUCUCGAAAACUCUCACCCACUCCCUCGUUAAUUUACGGCUGCCAGAGAUCGGAGUUCCAGAAACCUUGAGUCGCCGGAACCUUCAAGACUUCGCCGGAGAACGGAGAAGACGACCGGAGACCCACGACGUUCGUUUACGUGUUCGUGUGUUCGACAUUGGAGACCUUCGCUGGAACUGGGUUCGCAUCGGGCUUAACUGUUUGGCCACGUUUCGCGUCUGUCUCUUUUCCACUCAAUAAACGUUGCACCUACAAGACGAAGCCAAGGCCGGAACUCAUACCAUCGGUGUAGACUCACUCGCUUUGUGUUCGCUUGCCACAUGGAAUUGUUGAGGAUGAUGAUGCUAUGAAAUGAAGUAGCGUUGAUGCCUAGAAACACAUAUAGACGUUUAGGUUUAAUCGUUGUAUCAAUUAUGAUUAUGUUGUAUUGUAUUUCCCUUGAACUUGAUGUUAUUUGAUUUCCUUGUAAUGUUGACAAAUGAAUUAUGAAAUGAAAUCGGU